CCAGCUUCUUGGUCUUUUGGCCAAGAUAAAGUGUAGUAUCUGUUCUUAUCAGUUAAUGUGCCUGGGAAUGCAGCAGAAGUUGGCCCAAGCACCUGAACUCUU
rnacentral:snRNA from 1 species